rnacentral:rRNA from 1 species
GAUGAACGCUGGCGGCGUGCCUAAUACAUGCAAGUCGAGCGAACAGACGAGGAGCUUGCUCCUCUGACGGUAGCGGCGGACGGGUGAGUAACACGUGGAUAACCUACCUAUAAGACUGGGAUAACUUCGGGAAACAGGAGCUAAUACCGGAUAAUAUAUUGAACCGCAUGGUUCAAUAGUGAAAGACGGUUUUGCUGUCACUUAUAGAUGGAUCCGCGCCGCAUUAGCUAGUUGGUAAGGUAACGGCUUACCAAGGCAACGAUGCGUAGCCGACCUGAGAGGGUGAUCGGCCACACUGGAACUGAGACACGGUCCAGACUCCUACGGGAGGCAGCAGUAGGGAAUCUUCCGCAAUGGGCGAAAGCCUGACGGAGCAACGCCGCGUGAGUGAUGAAGGUCUUCGGAUCGUAAAACUCUGUUAUUAGGGAAGAACAAAUGUGUAAGUAACUAUGCACGUCUUGACGGUACCUAAUCAGAAAGCCACGGCUAACUACGUG